GGUUUCCUACGGGGGGCAGCAGUGGGGAAUAUUGCACAAUGGGGGAAACCCUGAUGCAGCAACGCCGCGUGAGUGAAGAAGUAUUUCGGUAUGUAAAGCUCUAUCAGCAGGGAAGAAGAUGACGGUACCUGAAUAAGAAGCCCCGGCUAACUACGUGCCAGCAGCCGCGGUAAUACGUAGGGGGCAAGCGUUAUCCGGAUUUACUGGGUGUAAAGGGAGCGUAGACGGCAGGGCAAGUCUGGAGUGAAAGCCCGGGGCCCAACCCCGGGCCUGCUUUGGAAACUGCCAGGCUAGAGUGCUGGAGG
rnacentral:rRNA from 1 species